UCAUUUAUUGCUAAAAAUCUCCCCUCGGCCAGCUGCCCCAGCAGGUUCCACCAUAAUAGUUGCCUGGGUUACGUAUGUAUGUGUGGGGGCGGAGCCGUUGUGACAUGAGGUUUAUUCAUGAGAUUCUUGCACUGCAUACACAACAUUGUUCCUCUGUUAUGAUCAUGACCUUCAUGAUGAGUCAUACUAGACUUUACUUCCUGGUUGCGUCAUCGUGUCACAUGUCCUCUCGCAUUUUAAAGCUCUGGGGAGUUUCAGCAAAGUGUCAAAAUGAGAAAUGAGCUUUGUGGAUCGUACAAAUCAGACCGCCGAUGGCACACGACGUGAAAGGUCUCAGAGUAAUAAAUCAAGGUGGAUUAGCUGACGUUAUCGUGUCGAGGUUGUAGAUCGGAUUAGAUUGUACCACAAGACCAGUUGAUUUGUCUCAGCAUCUAUAUAGACCCG